GUCCAAUUUUGUGAGUUGUGGCAUUAGGAGAAACUUUAUCAACUUUGAGAAACGCAAUCUACAAAAAAUCGUACUUGUGUGUUUUUUUCUAAUUAAUUCGGCCAAGGUUCUUGUUAAAACGGCUUCUGUAUUCACCCUUCAAAUGUCAUCUACAACUGCACUGAUGACGGUGGAUUAAGUCCCUAGUACUACCCUAGACUCCCUUUAAAAGUCUCGCAAUUUUGUGAUUUCUGACGUUAGGAGGAACUUUGUCAACGUCUGAAACGCUGACUACAACAAAUUCCGAACAGUUGUGUAUUUCUCAUUAAUUCGGCAAACGUUAUACAUCACGAUCUUUCCUUAUUUGUGUAAUAAAACAACUUUAUAUCCGUCUAUCGUUGAAGCGAUAGUCGUGUUUGUUUGCAUAUGGAGCGGGAAAGUGGGAUUCGAUCACAAGAUGUGUGUUAAUGUCAGCUCGAUACUUACUGACGUACAGCUGACAGCUGUCCGUGUGUGAACGGAUCCCUCAGGUGUGAAUCCCCUCACAACAGUUUGUGUCUCAGGCGACACUUUGUUUGAGUCUGUACGCUUUACCGUACAAGGUGAUGUAGGCGCGCAAGCGAAUUUUAAAUGGCGCCACUACUACCGACCCGUCCGCCUGUAAACACCUAAAGUGAAAGUAAGUUUUUAGAGGCGCGUCAUCCACCGUGUCCGCUCGGUGUGAGACGACGACGAGGAGUACUUUAGUGGAGGAAACAAAGAAAGUCGACAGAAAAAUUGCCAUGGAGAUGGAGAAGAGAUGCAAUCUGAUCAGAACUAUACAGGAGUCAUGUCGUGUGGCAGUGUUGAGAGAGUACGACACUUUGCACGGUGCCUUCGAGGUCAAAUACAGUCCACCAAGUAGUGUACCACCCAGUGUUGAUCCUCCAAAGACACAAAGUGCACCGCUCUGUAUCGUACCUCCCAUUGUCUCUGUGACGAGUGACUCACCUGACUCUCAACUUCAGAGGUCACAAAGUGAAUGGUUACAUGAAACUGACUCCAGAGCUUCUACUGCCUCAGUGAAGAGUGAAUCAUUGAUGUUUGAGCGGCCCUGUUUUCAUCUUCAGAGGGGACAGAGUGAACCGUUACGUGAAACUGACUCCAGAGCUUCCAAUAUCUCUAUGAAGAGCGCUUCAUCCAUGUUCGAGCCGCUCAACUUUAAUCUUAAGAAGAAACAAAGUCAGCUGACUGAGGAGAUCUCCAGCUGUUCAGUGUGUGAGGAGGCUGUGAGGGAUCCAGUCCGUUUGCUCUGUGGACACUGGUCCUGCAAACAGUGCUCCCACUCAUUCUGGGAACAGUACGGUUCAACAGCUGACUACUCCUGCAAGACGUGUGGAAGGAGAUUCAAAGGAGAACCUGAACACCAGACGGAUUCUGAGGACGACAAGAAGAAUCUCAACCUGCCUUCAGCAUCACGACCAGCUCCACAAAACUCAUCUGGACCUGCUGGAAGAGAGAAGAGAGAUCAGGAUCUCCGUUCUGUUCUGCUGGAGAAGACGAUCAAGAGAGUGGAGAUGGAGACGGAUAAGUUACAGGCAGAAAAGGAGUGGUUACAGGCUGAAAAGGAGAAGUCACAGGCAGAAAAGGAGUGGUUACAGGCAGAAAAGGAGAAGUCACAGGCAGAAAAGGAGAAGUCACACGCAGAAAAGGAGAAGUUUGAACUUGAGAAAAGGAAACUCGCUUUAGAAAUCCAAUCAUUGGAGCAAAAGGGCAAAUACACCAACAAUGAUCAAGGUGUUUUGAUUCCAAACAAAGAAAACCCAGAAUGUUUGUAUCCACCUCUUUCCUGGAUAUGUUUUGACGAAGUUUAA
ensembl:lncRNA